CGUAGGUGGCAAGCGUUGUCCGGAAUUAUUGGGCGUAAAGCGCGCGCAGGUGGGAUAAUAAGUCUGAUGUUAAAGUUCGGGGCUCAACCCCGUGAAGCAUUUGGAUACUGUUAUUCUUGAGUGCAGGAGAGGAAAGUGGAAUUCCUAGUGUAGCGGUGAAAUGCGUAGAUAUUAGGAGGAACACCAGUGGCGAAGGCGACUUUCUGGACUGUGUCUGACACUGAGGCGCGAAAGCCAGGGUAGUGAACGGGAUUAGAUACCCCGGUAAUCCUGGCCGUAAACGAUGGGUACUAGGUGUUGGGGGUAUCGACCCCUCCAGUGCCGGAGUUAACGCAAUAAGUACCCCGCCUGGGGAGUACGGCCGCAAGGUUG
rnacentral:rRNA from 1 species